ACAAGCCUUUAAGACGACGGUUCCUCAACGGUCAUCGGACCAAGGGGAUGAAAAGGGAACACGGUAAGGUGUAGCCAUCAGGCGCCUAAUCCGAGACUGCCCCCGCAACUGUAAGCGGUGAGCUUGGCCGGACAAUGCCACUGCCCCACGAUGGGGUGGGAAGGCCCGGACAAGCCAUGACCCGCAAGUCAGGAGACCUGCCGCCGGGGAUGCCCAUGCA
rnacentral:ncRNA from 1 species